CAGACCCAUGCAGGAGACCUCUCCAGGUACACAUAUUUCCUGCUACUGAAUGGCUUAGACUGGGAUUUGCAAGGAACUACGAAGUCCAAGACCUUUGCCUUUCUUUUAGAAGAAGGCACCAGCUGGUUCUCCAAUGUUGAAGGUCUUCUCCAGAGAUGAACUCUGAAAGCCACAUGUUGAGAUGGCCCCAUUACAGGAUGGAGAGCACCUGAACCCCCAAGUUAUGGACUAGAAGAAGACAGUUGCCCUGGAAAAUCAUCUGACCCACAUUGGACUUUAUGUGAGGGGGAAAUAAACCUUUAUUAUGUUAAGCUACACAAUAAUAAAUAACAACAAUAAUUGUGUUUAUUUGUUA
rnacentral:lncRNA from 1 species